CAACAACAGACGACAACACAGAGCGAGUCGGGCCAGCUGAUCGCUCGGGUGCGGAGUGAGGCCGAGGUUCACCACGGGGUUUUCACGUUCAGACUCUAAGUUCACAUUAAGAGGGGCAAGGAGGUGCAAUCAGAGGUUGUAUCCAGGCAACAUGCGGGAAUAAGGCAGUGGAAUCUAACGUGGGAGGAGAAGGAUGGAAAGGAGGUGCAAGAGUGAAGAACUGAGAAAGAAGGAUAAAGCAGGCAGUUGGGAGAAGAGGAAGAUAGAAAGGUGUAGAAAAGAAACAAAGGAGGAAUGUGGUGCUGUCGGCCCGCGUUCCAGCUACACCGAGGCGUGGGUCGAGAAGAAGUGAUGUCUUCUACUCUUGUUGAGACAGUCUCUAUCAACUAUGAGGAUUUCAAUGAGUCAUUCCUCACCUGUGGCACAUGCCUUUGUAAGUAUUUUGCUUUGAAGGUUAUGAAAGUAAAUUGUAUA